rnacentral:rRNA from 1 species
GAUGAACGCUGGCGGCGUGCCUAAUACAUGCAAGUCGAGCGAACAGAUAAGGAGCUUGCUCCUUUGACGUUAGCGGCGGACGGGUGAGUAACACGUGGAUAACCUACCUAUAAGACUGGGAUAACUUCGGGAAACCGGAGCUAAUACCGGAUAAGAUUUUGAACCGCAUGGUUCAAUAGUGAAAGACGGCCUUGCUGUCACUUAUAGAUGGAUCCGCGCCGUAUUAGCUAGUUGGUAAGGUAACGGCUUACCAAGGCAACGAUACGUAGCCGACCUGAGAGGGUGAUCGGCCACACUGGAACUGAGACACGGUCCAGACUCCUACGGGAGGCAGCAGUAGGGAAUCUUCCGCAAAGGGCGAAAGCCUGACGGAGCAACGCCGCGUGAGUGAUGAAGGUCUUCGGAUCGUAAAACUCUGUUAUCAGGGAAGAACAAACGUGUAAGUAACUGUGCACGUCUUGACGGUACCUGAUCAGAAAGCCACGGCUAACUACGUG